AAGGAGCAUGGCCCGUGGGUGGUGCCGGAGGGGCAUCCGUGAUUGGGCGUGGUGCGCCGGUGCGAGACGCAUGCGCACAAGAACCGCCGUGGGAGCGAGAGGGCGGCCUAAGGGCCUGUCCGGUUGAGGGUGCGUCACCGCCCACAUUGGCCUAGGAUGUGGGGGCCUUCCGACCUUCCACUGUGCCCUUUUUAUUAGGGCGAGGGCGCCUGCCACACCCCUUUGCCAGACAUGUGUGUCCUUAGAAAACCCUAAGUGGGAAAAGCACCUGGAGACGUCUCCUUUAUAAAGCCUCGUGGUGGAACAUCUGUUUGACCAGUUCAGCGGAAGGAUGAGCGCGCCACAUAGGGACUCGAUAUGAAUGGAAAAGGUCCGCCAACAUGCAGGUACUCCAGCAUUCUGAACACACACUAAAAAAAGCUCUCAUCUCUAAGAACCCAGUGCUUAUGUCGCAGUAUGAGAAGUUAGAUGCUGGGGAGCGCCGUUUAAUGAAUGAAGCCUUCCAGCCAUCCAGUGAUCUCUUUGAACCUAUUACUGUGCAUUCCAAGUCUGAUUGGAUUACCUCCCACCCUGAAGACCCCCAAGAUUUUGAGCAGUUUUUCACCGAUCACAACAGAAAAGCACCCUGUCCAGAGAAACACAUUAUCUAUAUGCAGUCCAUUGGUUCUCUAGGCAACACCAGAGUUAUCAGUGAAGAGUAUAUUAAAUGGCUCAAGGGCUACUGUGAAGCAUUUUUCUAUGGUUUGACCGUAAAAUUCUUAGAACCAGUUUCAGUCUCUGCCACGAAGUGUUCUUUCAGAGUGAAUGAGCACACACAAAACCUACAAAUCCAUGCAGGGCAUAUCCUGGCAUUCUUGAAAAAGAAGAAACCCAAAGAUGCCUUCUGCAUUGUGGGGAUAACAAUGAUUGAUCUUUACCCACGGGACUCCUGGAAUUUUGUCUUUGGGCAGGCCUCUUUGACAGAUGGCGUGGGGAUAUUCAGCUUUGCCAGGUACGGCAAGGAUUUCUACAGCUCACGGUAUGAAGGCAAAGUGAAGAAGGCCCAACGAACAUCUUCCAGUGACUAUUCCAUAUUUGAUAACUAUUACAAUCCUGAAGUCACUAGUAUUUUGCUGAGGCGAUCCUGUAAGACUUUAACCCAUGAGAUCGGACACAUAUUCGGACUGCGGCACUGCCAGUGGCUUGCGUGCUUAAUGCAAGGCUCCAAUCACUUGGAAGAGUCUGACCGGCGUCCUCUACACCUUUGCCCUAUCUGCUUACGCAAGCUGCAGUGCGCUAUCGGCUUCAGUAUUGUGGAGAGAUACAAGGCACUGUUGAGGUGGAUCGAUGAUGAAUCUAACGACACAUCAGGAGCAGCUCCCAAAAAUAGUUCUGACCAGGUGAAUUUGAAGAAACCUGUGGAAGCUUUUAAGGAUUGGAGAGAAUGGAUAAUAAAAUGCAUUGCUGUUCUGGAAAAAUAAGGACUUUCAGAUGGGAGUAACCGAAAUAAGUACUGGCACACUAGGUGUUUGUGGGUAGAGUACUUCAUUGACAUAAACCAUCUCCUGGCCUAUGCUGAGGUCAGGUAACAGACUAGAAGCUUCUCUGAAGCCCCUGGAUCAGAAUAAGGUUCACCGAGAACAAGGAAAACUCUCUCUGCUCUCCUCUCCUGUCUCACUAGCUUCAGAUUGGAUUAGCUGAAGCUAGAAGCUGGGAUUAAAAGGAUGUGCCACCACCUCUGUGAUCCUGGGGUUUGACCACGGCCUUGCUCAUACUUAGCACUCUACAGUUGAGUGGCAUCCCCCGGUCCCCAGUCUCCCACUUCCCUAUCUUUAAGGUAAGACUUAAAUUCCUUCCUUCUCCUCUCUUUCAUUUUCUUUUUCUUCUUUUCAAAUGGUGAAGAACGACGGCAGGUGUCAUUCCUCAGGGAUCAGGUCAGGCAGGCUGUCUGGUGAACCUCAGGGCCACCUGCCCGUUUUUCCUCCCCCCACCCUGUGGGUGCUGGGUGUCACCCUUGGGCCUCUGUUUACAUGGCAAGUACUUUACUGACUGAGCUAUUUCCAGCUCCCUUUUCCCAUUUGAAAUCUAAAUUCUUUCUUCGUUGUAACUUGCACAGUAUAAUUAAAAGCAUACCUGACAACCAAA